ensembl:snRNA U6 U6 spliceosomal RNA
GUGCUUCCUUUGGCAGCAUAUAUAUUAAAACUUGAAUGAUACAUAGAAGAUUAGUAUGGUUCCUGUGAAAG